UGCAGGUCUGGGUCCCACUCCUGCCAUUGUCAUGCCUUCUUGAGGAGUAUCCAAGGAACAUUUUACACUCCCAGACUCCAUAAAUUCCCUGGGCCGAUACCAGAGGCUGAGAUGUAUGCACUUGACUGAGAUAUUCACCGGGGAUUUGCUGAGGCCAAAAUUAAAUCAGCUGUUGCACCGAGAAGGGAGGGAGCCCCGUCUGCACCCGCCUCUUGCCCAGAGUGUCGGAGAGUUUGGACCCAGGUGUCUGAGUUCUCCCACAGAAGCUCUGCUGUGCACGAGGAACAUUUCAGGAUACUGCUGCAAGCAGCAAAAUACUUCCAGGCACAACAGCUGAGACCAGAAUUUUUGCAGAAGAGAAGCCCAGGCCAUGUCCCCUUUUCUCUCCUCCACCCUCCCCCCACAGCCUCUUUGACUCCCUGAACGUUCAGAUCUAGAGGACCACGUUCUGUUCUUGAUCCCAGCCCUUGGUACAACGGUGCUGUGAAGGUGUUACAACUCUCCAACAGUCUGAGGGCUCCAAAC